rnacentral:rRNA from 1 species
UACGUAGGGUGCAAGCGUUGUCCGGAAUUAUGGGGCGUAAAGAGCUCGUAGGCGGUCUGUCGAGUCCGCUGUGAAAACCUGGGGCUUAACUCCGGGCUUGCAGCCGAUACGGGCAGACUAGAGUUCGGCAGGGGAGACUGGAAUUCCUGGUGUAGCGGUGGAAUGCGCAGAUAUCAGGAGGAACACCGGUGGCGAAGGCGGGUCUCUGGGCAGUAACUGACGCUGAGGAGCGAAAGCGUGGGGAGCGAACAGG